CCUACGGGGGGCUGCAGUGGGGAAUAUUGGACAUUGGGGGCAACCCUGAUCCAGCCAUGCCGCGUGUGUGAAGAAGGCCCUCGGGUUGUAAAGCACUUUCAGUGAGGAAGAACGCCUGGUGGUUAAUACCCAUCAGGAAAGACAUCACUCACAGAAGAAGCACCGGCUAACUCCGUGCCAGCAGCCGCGGUAAUACGGAGGGUGCGAGCGUUAAUCGGAAUUACUGGGCGUAAAGCGCGCGUAGGUGGCUUGAUAAGCCGGUUGUGAAAGCCCCGGGCUCAACCUGGGAACGGCAUCCGGAACUGUCAAGCUAGAGUGCAGGAGAGGAAGGUAGAAUUCCCGGUGUAGCGGUGAAAUGCGUAGAGAUCGGGAGGAAUACCAGUGGCGAAGGCGGCCUUCUGGACUGACACUGACACUGAGGUGCGAAAGCGUGGGUAGCAAACAGGAUUAGAUACCCGAGUAGUC
rnacentral:rRNA from 1 species